GGUAGUUAGGGGGAGCUCCUUUUGGUCCAAAAACAGGAAAGAAAGAGAAAGGUAGAAACAUCUGCGGGUUCAUGGUUAACCUAUGGAGUUGAUUACACUGGAUUAUUACAAGCUCAACCCCAUUGGCUUUGCAUGAACUUGGAGAUGUUCUUUUGCCUUCUCCUUUUCUUAUUUGGAGUGAAAGGAGCUCCUUUUCUUCUCCUC
rnacentral:pre_miRNA from 1 species